AAUUUUCGGCAAUGGGCGCGAGCCUGACCGAGCAACGCCGCGUGAAGGAUGAAGGCCUUCGGGUCGUAAACUUUUGUCUUUGGGGACGAUAAUGACGGUACCCAAGGACGAAGCCCUGGCUAACUACGUGCGAGUAGCCGCGGUAAUACGUAGGGGGCGAGCGUUGUCCGGAAUUACUGGGCGUAAAGGGCGCGUAGGCGGCCUGAUAAGUCAGAUGUGAAAUCCCAAGGCUUAACCGUGGGUUUGCAUUUGAAACUGUUAGGCUUGAGGGCAGGAGAGGAAAGCGGAAUUCCCAGUGUAGCGGUGAAAUGCGUAGAUAUUGGGAGGAACACCAGUGGCGAAGGCGGCUUUCUGGUCUGUUACUGACGCUGAGGCGCGAAAGCGUGGGGAGCAAAC
rnacentral:rRNA from 1 species